rnacentral:rRNA from 1 species
CGUACACUCCUACGGGAGGCAGCAGUGGGGAAUAUUGCACAAUGGGCGCAAGCCUGAUGCAGCGACGCCGCGUGGGGGAUGAAGGCCUUCGGGUUGUAAACUCCUUUCGCUAGGGACGAAGCUUUUUUGUGACGGUACCUAGAUAAGAAGCACCGGCUAACUACGUGCCAGCAGCCGCGGUAAUACGUAGGGUGCGAGCGUUGUCCGGAAUUACUGGGCGUAAAGGGCUCGUAGGUGGUUUGUCGCGUCGUCUGUGAAAUUCUGGGGCUUAACUCCGGGCGUGCAGGCGAUACGGGCAUAACUUGAGUGCUGUAGGGGUAACUGGAAUUCCUGGUGUAGCGGUGAAAUGCGCAGAUAUCAGGAGGAACACCGAUGGCGAAGGCAGGUUACUGGGCAGUUACUGACGCUGAGGAGCGAAAGCAUGGGUAGCGAACAGGAUUAGAAACCCUAGUAGUCCCAUG